CGGUAAUACGGAGGGGGCUAGCGUUGUUCGGAAAUACUGGGCGUAAAGCGCACGUAGGCGGCGAUUCAAGUCAGAGGUGAGGGCCCAAGGCUCAACCCCGGAACUGUCUUCGAAACUAGAUUGCUAGAAUCCUGGAGAGGUGAGUGGAAUUCCGAGUGUAGAGGUGAAAUUCGUAGAUAUUCGAAAGGGCACCAGUGGCGAAGGCGACUCACUGGACAGGUAUUGACGCUAAGGUGCGAAAGCGUGGGGAGCAAACAGGAUUAGGUACCCUGGUAGUCCACGCCGUAAACGAUGAUAACUAGCUGUUCGGGUUCAUAGAACUUGAGUGGCGCAGCUAACGCAUUAAGUUAUCCGCCUGGGGAGUACGGUCGCAAGAUUAAA
rnacentral:rRNA from 1 species